AAUAGAUACCCCGGUAGUCCACGCCGUAAACGAUGAGUGCUAAGUGUUAGAGGGUUUCCGCCCUUUAGUGCUGCAGCUAACGCAUUAAGCACUCCGCCUGGGGAGUACGGUCGCAAGACUGAAACUCAAAGGAAUUGACGGGGGCCCGCACAAGCGGUGGAGCAUGUGGUUUAAUUCGAAGCAACGCGAAGAACCUUACCAGGUCUUGACAUCCUCUGACAACUCUAGAGAUAGAGCGUUCCCCUUCGGGGGACAGAGUGACAGGUGGUGCAUGGUUGUCGUCAGCUCGUGUCGUGAGAUGUUGGGUUAAGUCCCGCAACGAGCGCAACCCUUGAUCUUAGUUGCCAGCAUUCAGUUGGGCACUCUAAGGUGACUGCCAGUGACAAACCGGAGGAAGGUGGGGAUGGACGUCAAAUCAUCAUGCCCCUUAUGACCUGGGCUACACACGUGCUACAAUGGAUGGUACAAAGGGCUGCAAGACCGCGAGGUCAAGCCAAUCCCAUAAAACCAUUCUCAGUUCGGAUUGU
rnacentral:rRNA from 1 species